GCACUGCUGAGGAGUGCCACAAUAGGACGAAACUGCUGUCCAGUGC
rnacentral:hammerhead_ribozyme from 1 species